rnacentral:rRNA from 1 species
UACGUAGGGUGCGAGCGUUGUCCGGAAUUAUUGGGCGUAAAGGGCUCGUAGGCGGUUUGUCGCGUCGGGAGUGAAAACACCGGGCUUAACUCGGUGCUUGCUUUCGAUACGGGCAGACUAGAGGCAUGCAGGGGAGAACGGAAUUCCUGGUGUAGCGGUGAAAUGCGCAGAUAUCAGGAGGAACACCGGUGGCGAAGGCGGAUCUCUGGGCCGUAACUGACGCUGAGGAGCGAAAGCAUGGGGAGCGAACAGG